CCUACGGGUGGCAGCAGUGGGGGAUAUUGCACAAUGGGGGAAACCCUGAUGCAGCGACGCCGCGUGAGCGAAGAAGGAUUUCGGUAUGUAAAGCUCUAUCAGCAGGGAAGAAAAUGACGGUACCUGACUAAGAAGCUCCGGCUAAAUAAGUGCCAGCAGCCGCGGUAAUACGUAGGGAGCAAGCGUUAACCGGAUUUACUGGGUGUAAAGGGCGCGUAGGCGGAAAGGCAAGUCUGAGGUGAAAGGCCAGGCUCCACCCUGGAACUGCGUUUGAAACUGUUUUACUGGAGUGUCGGAGAGGCAAGUGGAAUGCCUAGUGUAGCGGUGAAAUGCGUAGAUAUUAGGAGGAACACCAGUGGCGAAGGCGGCUUGCUGGACGCUGACUGACGCUGAGGCUCGAAAGCGUGGGGAGCAAACAGGAUUAGAUACCCCAGUAGUC
rnacentral:rRNA from 1 species